rnacentral:misc_RNA from 1 species
UUUCCUCCUCCCCUUUUUUCCCUCCAAUUGCACUUUCUGGUAUUCCGGAAAGUAUGCCUGUUUGAGGGUCGGUUAAAUAAAAAUCGGUGUUGUUGCUGCUUUUCGUGGUGACGCGUCGGAAUUGAGUUGUCUUACCUUCGGUUAAGUGACUUAAAAUUUUGCAUGAUUUUCGAACGUAUUUAAAUUUCUUACGUACGUUUGAGAUAUCGAAUACUUUAUUAGGUUCGGUCAUCCUCAUGAUUCGCACCUAUAAUUUUUCAUUAAAUGACCUCAAAUCAGGUAAGAACACCAGCUUAACUUA